AGAGUUUGAUCAUGGCUCAGAGCGAACGCUGGCGGCAUGCUUAACACAUGCAAGUCGCACGGGCAGUGGUAACUCUGUCAGUGGCGGACGGGUGAGUAACGCGUAGGUAUCUAUCCUCGGGUGGGGGACAACCACGGGAAACUGUGGCUAAUACCGCAUGAUGACUGAGGUCCAAAGGCGCAAGUCGCCUGGGGAGGAGCCUGCGUCCGAUUAGCUUGUUGGUGGGGUAACGGCCUACCAAGGCUCCGAUCGGUAGCUGGUCUGAGAGGAUGAUCAGCCACACUGGGACUGAGACACGGCCCAGACUCCUACGGGAGGCAGCAGUGGGGAAUAUUGGACAAUGGGCGAAAGCCUGAUCCAGCAAUGCCGCGUGGGUGAAGAAGGUCUUCGGAUUGUAAAGCCCUUUCGGCGGGGACGAUGAUGACGGUACCCGCAGAAGAAGCCCCGGCUAACUUCGUGCCAGCAGCCGCGGUAAUACGAAGGGGGCUAGCGUUGCUCGGAUUGACUGUGCGUAAAGGGCGCGUAGGCGGCUUGUACAGUCAGGCGUGAAAUUCCUGGGCUCAACCUGGGGGCUGCGUUUGAUACGUAUGGGCUUGAGUUCGGAAGAGGGUCGUGGAAUUCCCAGUGUAGAGGUGAAAUUCGUAGAUAUUGGGAAGAACACCGGUGGCGAAGGCGGCGACCUGGUCCGAUACUGACGCUGAGGCGCGAAAGCGUGGGGGGCAAACAGGAUUAGAUACCCUGGUAGUCCACGCCGUAAACGAUGUGCGCUGGAUGUUGGGUGACAUAGUCAUUCAGUGUCGUAGCUAACGCGAUAAGCGCAC
rnacentral:rRNA from 1 species